AUACGUGUCAUUCCCAGGUCUCCCCCACCGGUUCUGCCUUAUCUUCCCCCACCGGCUUUCUCAUCCAGUCAUAUUCAACAACGAUUGAAUUCACACCCAAGGCACCGCAGCUCAUGAAUCACCCGCUGGCUAUUGCAGCUUUGGUGCCUAAAGAAGUGGUCGCGUUCGCCGCUAGUGCAGUCGCUUGUGCCGCUUCGACUAUUGUGGCUUUGGUGCCUAAAGAAGUUGUCAGAGAGCUGCGUUUUACUUCAAAGACCAUAGUAUUGGGGCACAACUGAACCCCUUGCGAAUUAUCCUGAAAAAUCUUUAAACAUGUCCGGGGUUGUUUGUAGGCGACGUAGCAACAUCCUGAUGAGCCCUAAUUUGUUUUCUGGUUUCGAUUUUGGAAUCAACAAUCGAUUAUUGACAACAACAAAAUCAUUCAGGCCAGGAACGUUCUUCUUUUGAUUUUAUUUGAUUCCCCAUCUGUGGGGCGUCAUCUAGACUUUCCUGUGUUUUAUGCUUGACGUCUGCGACUUCCGACUUCCUUCUGAUGUCGUCGUUCAUUUUUUAUUUGGGUAUGUGUUUUGUGCUUUGUAAUCGAUUUUGGAGUGGAUGUGUUUUGUGAUUUGUAAACGAGACCAAUACAGACGGAAACAGGAGUUACAUCUGCAUCGCCAUCUACCCAUCAAUUUGCAUCCAGUCCCAAGUGAAUCUUAGGUUAUAUUAAAGGUCAUAAUCGAUGUUAUCUUCAUCUGUUUCACUCUCCACUACACACCACCUGCAGCUUAGGCCCUUCAGCCAAGGACUGGCUGAAGAAGAAGAGAAUGAAGGAGGUGCUCCACCCAUUUACAAACGAAUGGGUUUCAGUUGCACCCCAAUACUCUGGUCGGUAUUUCUGGAGGGUUCUCCAAGCUUCAAAUGAUGAUAGCCCAAUAGUUAAAAGACGAAGACAAGGUAAACCUGAUUCUCCAAUUUCAAGUCAAAGGUAAUCCUAAUUUCUCCAAUUUCAAAUCCAAGUCGGAGAUUAACCUAGAUUUGAUUCGGUAGUUCUAACUUUUCAGAUUUCUUGCUGAGUUACACACAUCCCAUUCAUCGAUUUCGUUUCUUUACAUAAUUCAACGCUUUUCAAUUCUCAUUUAAACAUACCGACAUGGGUUGGUUAUAUUUGUUUGCUACCCCUGCUUAUUUCAAAAGAAUUAUGCAGAUACAGCUGAGUCGACUGCUUAAUAAAAAUCAUCAAUACGUAUCACUAUGCUGCAUUAAAUGAUUAAACCAUAACCUUAUUUUGUGACAAAAUGGUUGUUGAUUUUUGCA